rnacentral:lncRNA from 1 species
UUUGGGGAUGUGAUAUAGUUUGGACUGAAGCGUUCUAUUGCUGGCGGGGAUUAAUUUCAUAUGUUUUAAAUUUAAUGUCGGUUUUUAGAACUUGAAUAUGAUUGUAGGUUGCUGGUCUCAUUGGGUUUUGUUUCCAACUUCUUUUUAUCAAAACACAAAUGGACUAUUUUUAGGUCCCUAGUUAUUGGUUUACUUAAAGUUACCACCAGGUCUGUUGUAAUGAUUUAGCGUCAGUCAUUGAUAACUGCUUUUUCCUAUGUUGUUCUUAGUUUUUUAGAAAAUCAUUUUGAUUUUGAUUUUAAAAAGCCUUAAUCAAAGUUGAUCCAAAUGUAGUUUUAGUAUAUUCUCUGAAAUGGAGGUAUUCAAGGUUUUAGAACAUCCAACAUUCAGUUUCUCUUCUUUGCUGCCUUUUAAAUGAUGAAGUUUCAAUGAGAUUGCAUUUUUUCUGUUUUCAGGUGAGAUUUUGACUAGUUGUUGUCUUGCAGACUGACCUCUGAGAUUCUUUCGAAAUGGCUGAUAGAAACGGAUCUACCGGUGUACCUGAAGAAACUCAAAAUCUCAUGCCCAAUGAAAAUGCACCCUCUGAGAGUGACGUUUCACUUGAUCUACUUGCUCAAAAGGUUCAAGAGUCACUUGCUCUUGGAAAUAGACACAAAUUUUGGGAAACACAACCUGUUGGGCAAUUCAAGGAUAUAGGAGACACCAGUUUGCCCGAAGGACCUAUUGAACCCCCGACACCCAUAUCUGAAGUCAAACAAGAACCCUACAAUCUUCCGAACCUCUACGAAUGGGUCACUUGCGACAUUGACUCUGAGGAGAUGUGUGCUGAGGUUUAUAAUCUUCUCACUAACAAUUAUGUUGAGGAUGAUGAGAAUAUGUUCAGAUUUAACUAUUCAAAGGAGUUUCUUCGCUGGGCUCUGCGUCCACCGGGUUAUUUCAAGAGCUGGCACAUUGGUGUUCGUGUCAAAAGUUCAAAGAAGCUAGUUGCUUUCAUCACUGGUGUUCCUGCAAGAAUCCGGGUUCGUGAUAAUGUUGUCACAAUGGCUGAGGUAAAUUUCCUGUGUGUUCAUAAAAAGCUGAGAUCGAAAAGACUAGCUCCUGUCAUGAUCAAAGAAGUGACCAGGAGGGUUCAUUUGGAGAAUAUCUGGCAAGCAGCUUAUACUGCUGGAGUGGUCCUUCCGACUCCUGUAUCAACUUGCCAGUAUUGGCAUAGAUCUUUGAAUCCAAAGAAGCUGAUUGAUGUUGGGUUUUCUAGACUGGGUGCAAGAAUGACAAUGAGUCGAACGAUUAAACUUUACAAGUUACCAGAGUCGACAGUUACUCCAGGGUUCAGAAAGAUGGAGCCUCAUGACGUUCCUGCUGUUACACGGCUUCUUAGGGAGUACUUGAGCCAGUUUGCUAUUGCACCAGACUUUGAUGAAAAUGAUGUGGAGCAUUGGCUUCUUCCAAAGGAGAAUGUCGUGGAUAGUUUUCUGGUUGCAAGUCCUGAAACCCAUGAGAUCACUGAUUUCUGCAGCUUUUAUACCCUUCCCUCCUCAAUUCUUGGCAACCCAAACUAUUCCACUUUGAAGGCAGCCUACUCAUAUUAUAAUGUUUCCACAAAGACUCCUUUGCUUCAAUUGAUGAAUGAUGCUCUUAUCGUGGCGAAGCAGAAGGACUUUGAUGUUUUCAAUGCGUUGGAUGUUAUGCAAAAUGAAUCUUUCUUGAAGGAACUGAAAUUUGGACCAGGUGAUGGGAAAUUGCACUAUUAUCUUUACAACUAUCGCAUAAGACAGGCAGUACUCGCUUCAGAACUUGGUCUUGUACUCCUGUAGUUUUGAGUGCUGAAAAUCUCUUUUGAGGUAUGAGACUGACAGAAGCACUCUAGACGAAGUUUGCUUAUAGUUUUGGUUGUAUGAGUAUGUUAAAUUGCAGCAAAGCCAAGUUUAGAUGUUAGAUUUUAUUGUGCUAAAUUUUCAAACAAAAUUCGUGAACUUUAUCGGACUGAAAUUCUUAGGCACGUUUCAAAUGUUGCACUUGUUAGUUAUAUUGUUAGGAUUCAGUGAUGAUUGUAAUGUUAAAAAGCAAUUCUUGUUUUCCAUGUGGCUACUUUUCACGUUGCUUUGCUGGUGAACAAUGAGAGUCUUGCUAAGAAGCUACAGAUUGGCUUGAGUUCUGUUGUGCGUGCAUUAUACUGUAUGAACUAUGAAUACAGGGAGGAGCAUCAAUGCAUUAUAUUCCCACCUGAGAAGAAAGGCAUGCAUGCACGCGCACAAUUGAAACAGUUUGGAAACUGCUCCUCCAGCAACACAAAAUUAAAUUCUAAUCAUCAAUAAUGGGACAAAGGCAUAUCAGUUACCAGGAUACACAAUCCAGGCAAUGUGCAUGAGGAGUUUUAUUUUUCCAAAUUCCAUAUAUCUGUCUCCUCAAGGAAGGCUGUGAGGCUGUGAGCUGUUUCUUGAAAAAAUGUGCAGAUCAACAUCUUCAUUUAAUGGCCUUUUGUGAUCUUUUGUAUUAUUGUUUCAAAACAAGCUAAUUAUCAUUUUUUAAAAGAAAAUUAUGAUGCAACCGUGUUAUGUUACCGUGUUAUUGUUAUACCCAACUGUUUGAAUUCGAAUGAAUCCAUCCAUUCAAUUGGAUCCGCCGGCUAGAUGCCUUAGACCCCAAUUUUUUACCCACACGAGUGUGUGAUUAUUAUCAAAAUUCCGAUUAUACCCUUUCUACACAAUUAAAAUUACAAAACCCAUUGGGACUUCGGAUUUCCAAUCUUUGUUCUAACUUUAUUCUCUUCUUCGGUCUCUCCAAAGCCCAACUCUCUCUCUCUCUCUCUCUUUGCGAAAGCUUGGAUCAUUGCUUCAGUUUUCUCCGCAUUAAAUCGCGAGGUAAUAUAAGCAUAUCGCUUAAUCGGUUUGAAAGCAAAUUGAAUAAAAGAAGAUAAAAAUAUGAGUUCUGAUCUUAUGUUUGAUGCUUUUUUCCCCCUGUUUUCAAACAACGAAAAAUCAAAACUUUGUAAGACCCACUAAGUAAAUACAUCAGUAAACACGAUUAAGUGGAGUUUUGGUGUUUCUUUAGCUGUUCUGAUAAUUGUUUGACAGUGUAGAUCUUGGAAAUGUAUGUUUGCUGUUUCCGAGUUUUUAGGAAUUUUUUGUUUUUUGGAACGUGUUUGUAUGUUUGGAUGCUGGGAAAGUAUGUAAAAGGAGAAGGAAAGUAAAAAGGAUUUAACUUUUUCUGUCUCUAGAUAUUUGUGGUUUUUGGGUUUGUGAUUUUAAUCGGUUCUUUCACUGCUGUAUGCAAUUGUAUGACUCUUGAGGCAAAUACGUUUUGGUUUUUGCUUGUUCUUGUUGCUGUUCAUGGAUAUAUGAUACAGUUUCAGUGAUUGGACAGUAUUGUUGGUUGGUAGGUUUUAACAAAAUGAAAGUCUUACAUCAUGAUGUAGUUUAGGCUCAAGCGAUCUAUUGCUCGUGGGGCUUAAUUUGAUGUAUAUUGUAGAUUUGAUGUUGAUUUAUAGUACUUGAAUAUGAACAUAAUGUACCUGUUUCAUUGGUUUUUGUUUCCAACAUUUUUGUGAGUCCCUUUUAUUGGUGGACUCAAAUUUAUAUCCCCUUUUGUUGUCAUGAAUCUUGAUUUCGUUCUGAUAAUUGAAAUUGCUGCCUUUUCUAUAUCGUACUUGGUUCUUUAUAAAACCAAGUAUAAUACUACUUUCUGUAUUUUGAUAUUGAUGUUGUAUUGGCUAAUUUAGUCUGCGCCAAAUACUGUUUUUUAAAACUCAAUGGAGUUAGGUAUUUGAUAUACUGUAACAUAAAAAACUUAAAACAUUAUUUUCUCUUGCUUAUUGCCUUUCAAAGCAUACGAUUGGGUCGUAAUAAGAUUGCGGUAUUUCAGUCUUGCAGACUGACCUCUGAGAUUUUUUCAAAAUGGCUGAUAGCAAUGGAUAUUCGGGUGCCCCUGAAGGAACUGAAAACCUUGAGCCUGAUGAAAGUCCACCCUGUGGGAGUGAUAUUUCACUUGACCUACUUGCUCAAAAGGUCCAAGAGUCACUUGCUCUUGGACAUAGACACAAAUUUUGGGAAACACAACCUGUUGGGCAAUUCAAGGAUAUGGGAGACACCAGUUUUCCGGAAGGCCCUAUUGAACCCCCAACACUCUUAUCUGAAGUAAAAAAAGAACCCUACAAUCUUCCGAACCUCUACGAAUGGGUCACUUGCGACAUUGACUCUGAGGAGAUGUGUGCUGAGAUUUAUAUUCUACUCACUAACAACUAUGUUGAGGAUGAUGAGAAUAUGUUCAGAUUUAACUAUUCAAAGGAGUUUCUCCGCUGGGCUCUGCGUCCACCGGGUUAUUUCAAGAGCUGGCACAUUGGUGUUCGUGUCAAAAGUUCAAAGAAGCUAGUUGCUUUCAUCACUGGUGUUCCUGCAAG